rnacentral:rRNA from 1 species
AUGACUGGGAUAACUGGCCGAAAGGCUUGCUAAUACCAGAUAAGCCCACGAGGACUUUGGUCCAUGAGGGAAAAGGCGGCCUCUGUAUACAAGCUGUCACAGGGAGAUGAGUCCGCGGCCCAUCAGCUAGUUGGCGGGGUAAAGGCCCACCAAGGCAACGACGGGUAGCUGGUCUGAGAGGAUGAUCAGCCACACUGGAACUGAGACACGGUCCAG